UCCUACGGGGGGCAGCAGUGGGGAAUAUUGGGCAAUGGGCGCAAGCCUGACCCAGCAACGCCGCGUGAAGGAAGAAGGCUUUCGGGUUGUAAACUUCUUUUGACAGGGAAGAGUAGAAGACGGUACCUGUCGAAUAAGCCACGGCUAACUACGUGCCAGCAGCCGCGGUAAUACGUAGGUGGCAAGCGUUGUCCGGAUUUACUGGGUGUAAAGGGCGUGUAGCCGGGUUGACAAGUCAGAUGUGAAAUCCGGGGGCUCAACCCCCGAACUGCAUUUGAAACUGUUGGUCUUGAGUAUCGGAGAGG
rnacentral:rRNA from 1 species